UACGUAGGUGACAGGCGUUGUCCGGAUUUACUGGGCGUAAAGAGCGCGCAGGCGGUCGUUCAAGUCGAGUGUGAAAGCCCCCGGCUCAACUGGGGAGGGUCAUUCGAUACUGAUCGACUCGAAGGCAGGAGAGGGAAGUGGAAUUCCCGGUGUAGUGGUGAAAUGCGUAGAUAUCGGGAGGAACACCAGUGGCGAAGGCGACUUCCUGGCCUGUUCUUGACGCUGAGGCGCGAAAGCUAGGGGAGCAAACGGG
rnacentral:rRNA from 1 species